UUGGAGGGCAAGUCUGGUGCCAGCAGCCGCGGUAAUUCCAGCUCCAAUAGCGUAUAUUAAAGUUGUUGCAGUUAAAAAGCUCGUAGUUGAAUUUCGGGGUUAGUAGGUUGGUCAUGCCUCUGGUAUGUACUGAUCUCACUGAUUCCUCCUUCCUUAUGAACCGUAAUGCCAUUAAUUUGGUGUUGCGGGGAAUUUGGCCUGUUACUUUGAAAAAAUUAGAGUGUUUAAAGCAGGCUAACGCUUGAAUACAUUAGCAUGGAAUAAUGAAAUAGGACGUUCGAUCUUAUUUUGUUGGUUUCUAGGAUUGACGUAAUGAUUAAUAGGGAUAGUUGGGGUUAGUAUUCAAUUGUCAGAGGUGAAAUUCUUGGAUUUAUGAAGACUAACUACUGCGAAAGCAUUUGCCAAGGAUGUUUUCAUUAAUCAAGAACGAAAGUUAGGGGAUCGAAGACGAUCAGAUACCGUCGUAGUCUUAACCAUAAACUAUGCCGACUAGGGAUCGGAUGAUGUUAUUUUAAUGACUCAUUCGGCGCCUUACGGGAAAC
rnacentral:rRNA from 2 species